AUGCGCAGUACCAUCUGUACCUGGAGCUGGUGGAAGACGGUGAGAAAUGGCGAACACAGGCGAGUAAAAGGAGCCGGCACCUUUCCAAAUGACGGUAAUAAAACUGAAGA